AGAGUUUGAUCAUGGCUCAGAACGAACGCUGGCGGCAGGCUUAACACAUGCAAGUCGAACGCACCUUCGGGUGAGUGGCAGACGGGUGAGUAACGCGUGGGAACCUUCCCUGUGGUACGGAAUAACCUCGGGAAACCGAGGCUAAUACCGUAUAUCUCCUCCGGGAGAAAGAUUUAUCGCCAUAGGAUGGGCCCGCGUUG
rnacentral:rRNA from 1 species